rnacentral:rRNA from 1 species
ACGAACGCUGGCGGCAGGCCUAACACAUGCAAGUCGAACGAAGUCUUCGGACUUAGUGGCGCACGGGUGAGUAACACGUGGGAAUAUACCUUUCGCUGGGGGAUAACAUCGGGAAACUGAUGCUAAUACCGCAUACGCCCUACGGGGGAAAGAUUUAUCGGCGAGAGAUUAGCCCGCGUCCGAUUAGGUAGUUGGUGAGGUAACGGCUCACCAAGCCUGCGAUCGGUAGCUGGUCUGAGAGGAUGAUCAGCCACACUGGGACUGAGACACGGCCCAGACUCCUACGGGAGGCAGCAGUGGGGAAUAUUGGACAAUGGGCGCAAGCCUGAUCCAGCCAUGCCGCGUGAGUGAUGAAGGCCUUAGGGUUGUAAAGCUCUUUCGACGGGGACGAUGAUGACGGUACCCGUAGAAGAAGCCCCGGCUAACUUCGU